GCGUCUGAAGAAGUGGGUUUUUUUACCCACGAAAGCUUAUGCCCAAAUAAAUGUUAGUCUUUAAGGUGCCACUGGACUCCUUGUUGUUUUUAUGGUACAGACUAACAUGGCCACCCCUCUGAUAUUUAGUUCCUCCUAGGUCAUUAGCUGUCUCCCCCUAAACUGCUCAAGGUUUUGUAGGUUACUUUUAGUGGGACAAAUUGUUAGUUUCACCUAGAUUGAGGCAUUAUUUGAGCUUUAAGAUUAAGCAGAAUCCCUCUGAAGCUACUAUGUCUUAAAUCUAUUUGCAUUGGCCUAGGCAUGUAAUAAAACAAGGAAACAGCAGAAGGGAUAACCGGUGACCCAACUUCCAGUCCUACCUUCUAUAACUUUGCAGCCAGACGAGCUGUGCUUACCUAGCUACAAGAUCUCUUGUUUGUAAGUGGGUCAAGAACUCAAUUCUAGUUAGGCUCCUAAAUAAGUACUGAGCCCCCAGCAGCUCCCUAUGAAGUCUUUGGGAGGUGCCGAAUGCUCAGCAGCAUUAAAAGUUAUCCUUAUUGACCUAAAACAGGAUUUAGGAGCGACUCCUAUUUUUGAAAAUUUGUCUUGGGUACAUAACACAAGAGGAGGUAAAGAGCUGACAGGAAAUUUGUGCAAAAAUAAUCAUCUUGGGGAAAGAACAAUAUCCCCCCACCUCCCCCAUCCUAGGGAAAAACUCAAAUGAAACCUUAGCUUAUGCUGUGGGAAAGGAUUUGCGAUGGAGAAUAAACAAGGGAAGGCGUUAACCAGUUAGGUGUAAAGGCAGAUGAAAGGACAUUGCAAGGUUUCACCUAUUCACGGAACAAAUACUACAGAAGCUAAACCACAGUGUAACUCCUCUUUCUAAAAAUCCCAUUCUCAAAAUUGAGGGAGGUUGCAAGAGGGUCUGAGCUGAUUUCUGACAGUAGGAAGCUAUUUAUUUAAAGACAAACAUUUUAUUUGGUUGUUGCCAUGAGUCACUUGCCAUGUCUAGCUAUUUUUUUGUGCAGGUUUGGACUCCAAUUCUCAUGGUAAUGUACUGCUUAGAGCAUCUGAGGCAGCGCCAAAGUUUUCAUGUAGGCAGAGUGGGUAUUUUUGGGCAGCUUGGUGCCCCUUGUACUUUGCUGAAAGAUUUAGAGUAUGUUUCAGCAGAACAGCUUGUUUCAUGUAAUGGAAAGUGAUACAUAUGGUUUGUACAAUGAGCCUUCCUGUUAACUGGAAAGCACAGGAACUGGGCAUACUUAAGCCUCCAGAUAUCACUAUUGAGUUCUGCAAUUUCACGCUUACUUGUUUGGUGCAAUUUGCCUCUCUAUCCAAAGCAUUCACAUACACAGGAGCGCAAUGCUAAAGGAGUAUUCUCCCACUCCACCAAGUGGGUAGACUUGUAUUUGAGUAAGACGUUAAACCCUUCCUGCUCUGCUCUAGCCAGCAAACUGCAGUUUCACCAAACAAAACUAAGUUACUGGGCAGGAAAUGCGAAGUGUUCUGACCUGAUGACCUUGCUUAGAAAUCACCCCACCCCCAUCCCCAGGGUGCAAACUAAGUGAUAGGCUGAAUUCCCACUCCUCCCCUACAAUCACUUUCUGCUACUCUUGAUAGCAAGUUGCUGUGGCACACCCCAUCAGACAUACAUAGUUAUGCAAUUAUCUCACUUUGACAUGUGCAAGGUGAGGCUGAAAGAGUCAAAAAAGGGGCUUAAUUUGCUAGAAUCCUAUUAAACCGUAUCUUUAAAGGAUAGCCAAGUAACAAAAGUUAUUUAAGGAAAUUGCCAAAGUUUCUAAGGAUACAUUUCCCAUGCCUUAAGUUAGAUGAGCUGUUGUCUGAUGUAUACUUUUAGCUUGAUACAGCUUAUCAAAAGAAUCCUGUCUGCUUACCAUACCACUCAUUCUGUCCCAGUUCAUCUUAUAUUUUAUUGUACAGCAUACUUGCAGCACUCAGAGCACAACUCUCAUACCAAUUCACUGCCUCUUCACAAAAAGUGGAGCUGACAGAGCAGGGGAAAUUAUGUGCUCAAGCUGAAAGAGCUGGACAGGCACAUUUUUAGCCUAUUGUUUUCACUGACAAAUAGAUAUAGGAGUUUCAGGCAACAUUAAUUCCUCAUUUCCUGAAAGUUUAAAAAAAGAAAACUAGGGGUCAGGAGCUGAAGAAAAGAAAAUGCCAACAUUGAUAACUGCUGCCUAUUACCUUAAAAGGUAGACAUUAAAAACACUAAGCCUGAAAUCUAGACAUACAAAAUAUGUCAAAAAGAAGAACAGGAGUACUUGUGGCACCUUAGAGACUAACAAAUUUAUUAGAGCAUAAGCUUUCGUGGACUACAGCCCACUUCUUCGGAUGCAUAUCCGAAGAAAUAUGUCAAGAAAAUACGUCAAGUAGAACAAGGCAGAUAGUUAAAUCUAAAUAUUUCAUGGCUUCCAGUAUCUGCCUCCCAAGAACUUAGAAUGAGAGAGAAUCUUUUUUUCUUUUGCAGCCUGUAGAAGAAAUAGCUUUAAAGGGCCUGAUUUCCAGAGGUGAUAAGCACCUUCACCUCCCACAGACUUAAAAUGAAGCAGUAGUUAAUUGGCAUCUCUGAAUCUAGCCCACUGCUUUUCAUUUAAAAACAAAAACAAAAACCCACAUUUGUGUAGUUAAAUGUAGGUCUAUGCUAGGAACAUUUUCUAAAAGGUCACUACUGCCCCUGGGAGUUUUUAAAAGUUUCCAGGGUAGCAAAGGCCCGUCAGUAUAGAAAUUACUGAGGGAAAGCAGAGGUGAAGAAACAAACUGUUCUAGAGAAGCAGCUCCAAUUUCAGACUGCUGUAGCCAGACGCUAAGGCAUGGUCUAUACUUAAAACACAGGCUAUGUCCACACGACAGACCUUACAGCAGCACAGGCAUACCACUGCAGCUGUGCUGCUGUAAGGUCUCCCACGUAGCCGCUCUGUGUGGACUUGGCACAGCGCUGUCUGCACCAGCGCUUUUGUCGGUGAAACUUACAUUGGUCAGGGAGGGUUUUUCCCACUCCCCUGACCGACAAGUUUUACUGACAAAAGUGCUAGUGUAGACACAGCCUUAGGUUGACCUAGUUACAUCUCUCAGGGCUGUGAACAAUUUCACACCCUAUACAAUGCAAUGCAGCUAGGUUGACCUCCCUCCUCACUGUAGCUGGAUUACCUACAUCAAUGGGAAAACCCCUUAUGUCAGUAUAGGAAGUAUCUACACUACAACAGCACAGCUACAGCACUUGAAACUAGGAAACUCCUUGUUUGGUGGCAGUGGUGGAAGGGAGACAGACUUCAUUUUCUAAAGAAACUAAAUUUUCAUUUAAAAAAAAUAAAAUAAAAAACCACUUUACAGCCCCUGCAUGGUUGUUAACAUCACCUUCUAUAUAUUAACCAAUGCGGUGCUAUCUUCCUGAGUCUGUUAGCUCCUGUGUUUCCACUGGUGAUAUUCAGAACCCAGCAAGCAGCAGUGAAACUGAGAAGGUGCUCUAUUUUACACUGCUUAGUUCUCUCAAGUAGCAACAGAUCAGGCAUAAAUCAGAGGCAACUGUUUAACCCCUGAAUGGGUUGUAUUUGAACCUCCUCCCUUGUGAAAAAUACCCUUCCCUUCUUGUACCAGAUGUGGAACAUCUGUUGGAUCAAAGCAUGAUUAAGAGUGAAUCUGUCCACAACCUAAUUCAGUUGAGUUUAUUCAUUUAGAACUCAUCUCAAGGUGGCAUCCAAGAUGCUGACACUAUAAAGAAGGCAGACCACACUGGUUGUUCACUAUAUUUCUAAAGUAUCUGAAUGGAUUUCAAUUUACAGCUAGGAAGCAAAAUCUUCUACAAUAAAUUUUAUGUAUGUUCUGAAGACAAGCAAGAUAUCACAGAGCCUGUAUCUGCAGCAGGUUGCAAAAUACCUCAAGGGUUUCUCCCUGAAGAAACAUAAUGGAUUAAACAAGAGAACCUCUACUUCCUAGCAGAUACA